AUGAUGGUUAUGGUAUGGUUAUUUAUUUAUGGUGUUGAGUUAAUUUUUAUUUAUUAUUCGUUACUCAUUGUAAAUGUUACCAAUGAAAACAGGAAAAUUUAAUCUUUUUUUGCUAAAUUCACUUCUAAUUGAGUAUUUUAAUGCUUAUCCUUGGCACUCCUUAGUAAAUAAUAGAAGAUAAUUCAGUUGAUUCAGCCAUGGAAAUAAACACUGAAACUAAAAAGGAGUUAAUUGAGGGUGACCAACAAUAUAUGGGCUAUCCACUUCCCUAGAUCUGGAAGUUUUGAAGAAUAAACAAAAGACUCAGAUAUGGAAACAAAAACUCAAAUUAAGAAUGAGUCACUUGAGGGUGACCAACAAUAUAUAGAGUAUCAACAAUCCACGUCCCUAGAUGUGGAAGGCUUGAAGAAUGAACAAAAGGAAGACUCAGGUGAGGGAAAUA
rnacentral:misc_RNA from 1 species